CAACCUCAAAUUAGGUGAGAUUACCCGCUAAAUUUAAGCAUAUUAUUAAGCGGAGGAAAAGAAACUAACAAGGAUUUCCUUAGUAGCUGCGAGCGAACUGGAAAAAGCCUAGCACUGAAUUAUUAGUAUCUUGUAUACUAAUAAAAUGUAGUGUUUAAGAAGGUUAUUUAAUCAAAAGUAUUUUUGUUUGUUCAAGUUCAUCUUGAAUGGGGCCAAAAUCCAUAGAAGGUGCCAGGCCCGUAGAAACAAAUAAAUACUUUUGAAUAAUCUUUCUUUAAAGUCGGGUUGCUUGAGAGUGUAACCUUAAGUGGGUGGUAAGUUCCAUCUAAGGCUAAAUAUAACCACGAGACCGAUAGCAAACAAGUACCGUGAGGGAAAGUUGAAAAGAACUUUGAAGAGAGAGUUCAAAAGUACGUGAAACCGUUUAGGGGUAAACGGAAAAGAACUAAAAAUCCGAAAAGGGAGAUUCACGUCUUCUCAUAUGUUAAAUAUAAUAAUUUUUAAGGAUAAUUAAUAAUCUAAUACUUUUGUAUUAGUAGUCGCUUUUUUUUUAAUUAAAGCGUUUAAACAAAUUUUUAUUUUUUAAUUAUUAUUAAAUAACAACCUUGUUUGAUUAUUUAUAAUGUUAAUUAUAAAAAUUUGAUUUUUAAACAGACUUACAACACUAGUCAGCGGCGCUACAGUUUUAGUAACUUUUCCGACCCGUCUUGAAACACGGACCAAGGAGUCUAACAUGUGCGCAAGUCAUUUGGUUUAAUAAACCAAAAGGCAUAACAAAAGUAAAGUAAGCUUUGCUUAAUUAGGGAGGAUAAUUAUUAAUAAGAAUUUAUUCUUAUUAUAAUUCGCACUCCCGGGGCGUCUAUUACUCAUUGCGAGUAAAGGCGCACCUAGAGCGUACACGUUGGGACCCGAAAGAUGGUGAACUAUGCCUGGCCAGGAUGAAGCCAGGGGAAACCCUGGUGGAGGUCCGUAGCGAUUCUGACGUGCAAAUCGAUCGUCAGAGCUAGGUAUAGGGGCGAUAGACUUAUCGAACUAUCUAGUAGCUGGUUCCUUCCGAAGUUUCCCUCAGGAUAGCUGGUGUCAAUGAUGAUUGAGUCUCAUCUGGUAAAGCGAAUGAUUAGAGGCCUUGGGGCCGAAACGACCUCAACCUAUUCUCAAACUUUAAAUGGAUGAGAGCCUUGGCUUGCUUAAAAGUGAAGCCAAGGAUUUGGAUCUAGAUGCCAAGUGGGCCAAUUUUGGUAAGCAGAACUGGUGCUGUGGGAUGAACCAAACGCAAAGUUAAGGCGCCUGAAUCAACGCUCAUGAGACACCAUGAAAGGCGUUGGUUGCUUAAGACAGCAGGGCGGUGGCCAUGGAAGUCGGAAUCCGCUAAGGAGUGUGUAACAACUCACCUGCCGAAGCAACUAGCCCUGAAAAUGGAUGGCGCUGUAGCGUUGUGCCUAUACUUUGCCGUUAACGGCAAAUAUGGCAAUAUAUAUGUAUAUAUAUAUUGUGCUAUUAAGCCUUAACGAGUAGGAAGGUCGCAGCGAUGUGCGUAGAAGGGUCUGGGUGUAAACCUGCCUGGAGCCGUCGCUGGUGCAGAUCUUGGUGGUAGUAGCAAAUACUCCAGCGAGGACCUGGAGGACUGUUGUGGAGAAGGGUUUCUUGUGAACAGCUGUUGCACAAGAGUCAGUCGAUCCUAAGCUCUAGGAGAAAUCCAAUGUUGAUAGAUGCCCUAAUUUGAAAGGCAUCUGUAGAGCGAAAGGGAAUCUGGUUCCUAUUCCAGAACCUGGUAGCGGAACCGUUUCAAAUUCGAGCCCUUAAUGAGCUUGUCGGGGUAACCCGAAAAGACCCGGAGACGCCGUUGGAAGGUUUGGGGAGAGUUGUCUCUUCUCUAUAAGCGUUCGAGUUCCCUGGAAUCCUCUAGCAGGGAGAUAGGGUUUGGAACGCGAAGAGCAUCGCAGUUACGGCGGUGUCCAAAUCUUUCCUUCGGACCUUGAAAAUCCGGGCGAGGGCUACGAGGAACACCGCACCAGAUCGUACCCAUAUCCGCAGCAGGUCUCCAAGGUGAAUAGCCUCUAGUCGAUAGAAUAAUGUAGGUAAGGGAAGUCGGCAAGCUUGAUCCGUAACUUCGGGAUAAGGAUUGGCUCUGAGGAUCGUGGCGUGCUGGGCUUGGUUGGGAAGUGGAGCGGUGUCAAUUAGCCGGGCCUGGGCAAAGUAAACAGUUUUUACUGUUAAUCUAAGCUCGGUCCCGUGCCUUGGCCACCCAUGGAUCUUCCUUGCAAUAGGCUUCACAAUUGUCAGUUAUCAAGUUUUAUCUUGGUAAAACGGAUUGUGGGUCUUUUCGGCCGCCUUUUAACGAUCAACUCAGAACUGACACGGACAAUGGGAUUCCGACUGUCUAAUUAAAACAAAGUAUUGCGAUGGCCCCAAACGGGUGUUGACGCAAUAUGAUUUCUGCCCAGUGCUCUGAAUGUCAAUGUGAAGAAAUUCAAGUAAGCGCGGGUAAACGGCGGGAGUA
rnacentral:rRNA from 1 species